rnacentral:rRNA from 1 species
UACGUAGGUGGCAAGCGUUGUCCGGAUUUACUGGGCGUAAAGGGCGUGCAGGCGGUUUGUUAAGUUCAGGGUGAAAGCUCCCGGUUCAACUGGGAGAGGUCCUUGGAUACUGGCAGACUUGAGGAGGGUAGAGGAGAGUGGAAUUCCACGUGUAGCAGUGAAAUGCGUAGAGAUCCGGAGGAACCCCAGAGGCGAAGGCGGCGUCCUGGCUCGCAUCUGACGCUCAGACACGACAGCAUGGGGAGCAAACAGG